GGAGGAACACCAGUGGCGAAGGCGGCCUGCUGGGCUUUUACUGACGCUGAGGCACGAAAGCAUGGGUAGCAAACAGGAUUAGAUACCCUGGUAGUCCAUGCCGUAAACGAUGAUUGCUAGGUGUGGGGGGUCUGACCCCUUCCGUGCCGGAGUUAACACAAUAAGCAAUCCACCUGGGGAGUACGGCCGCAAGGUUGAAACUCAAAGGAAUUGACGGGGGCCCGCACAAGCAGUGGAGUAUGUGGUUUAAUUCGAAGCAACGCGAAGAACCUUACCAGGUCUUGACAUCCACCGAAUCCUCCAGAGAUGGGGGAGUGCCCUUCGGGGAGCGGUGAGACAGGUGGUGCAUGGUUGUCGUCAGCUCGUGUCGUGAGAUGUUGGGUUAAGUCCCGCAACGAGCGCAACCCUUGUGAAUAGUUGCUACGAAAGAGCACUCUAUUCAGACCGCCGUUGACAAAACGGAGGAAGGUGGGGAUGACGUCAAAUCAUCAUGCCCCUUAUGACCUGGGCUACACACGUACUACAAUGGCCAUCAACAGAGGGAAGCAAGGCCGCGAGGUGGAGCGAACCCCUAAAAAUGGUCUCAGUUCAGAUUGCAGGCUGAAACCCGCCUGCAUGAAGAUGGAAUUGCUAGUAAUCGCGUAACAGCAUGACGCGGUGAAUACGUUCCCGGGCCUUGUACACACCGCCCGUCACACCAUGGGAAUUGGGUCUACCCUAAGAUGGUGCGCCAACCAGCAAUGGAGGCAGCCAGCCAC
rnacentral:rRNA from 1 species